AGAGUGUGUGUUUGCCUGUGUCUGUAGACUGAGAGAGACUGUGUGUUUGCUUGUCUGUAGACUGAGAGAGAUGUGUGUUUGGCUGUGUCUGUAGACUGAGAGAGACUGUGUGUUUGGCCUGUGUCUGUAGACUGAGAGAGAGGUGUGUGUUUGCCUGUGUUGUAGACUGAGAGAGACUGUGUGUUGGCUGUGUCUGUAGACUGAGAGAGAGUGUUGUUGGCUGUGUCUGUAGACUGAGAGGAGUGUGUGUUUGCCUGUGGCUGUAGACUGAGAGACUGUGUGGUUUGCCUGUGUCUGUAGACUGAGAGAGACUGUGUGUUUGGCUGUGUCUUUAGCUGAGAGUGUGUUUGGCCUGGUCUGUAGACUGAGAGAGAGAGACUGUGUGUUUGCCUGUGUCUGUAGACUGAGUAGACUGUGUGUUUGCCUGUGUCUGUAGACUGAGAGAGAGUGUGUGUUUGGCUGUGUCUGUAGACUGAGAGAGACUGUGUGUUUGGCUGUGUCUGUAGACUAGAGAGACUGUGUGUUGCCUGUGUCUGUAGACUGAGAGAGACUGUGUGUUUGGCUGUGUCUGUAGACUGAGGAGACUGUGUGUUUGCCUGUGUCUGUAGACUGAGAGAGACUGUGUGUUUGGCUGUGUCUGUAGACUGAGAGAGACUGUGUGUUUGCCUGUGUCUGUAGUGACGAGAGAGAGUGUGUGUUUGGCUGUGUCUGUAGAUGAGAGAGACUGUGGUUUUGCCUGUGUCUGUAGACUGAGAUAGACUGGUGUUUGCCGUGUUCUGUAGACUGAGAGAGGUGUGUGUUUGGCUGUGUCUGUAGACUGAGAGAGACUGUGUGUUUGGCUGUGUCUGUAGACUGAGAGAGACUGUGUGUUUGCCUGUGUCUGUAGACUGAGAGAGACGUGUGUUUGGCUGUGUCUGUAGACUGAGAGAGACUGUUGGUUUGCCUGUGUCUGUAGACUGAGAGAGAGGUGUGUUUGGCUGUGUCUGUAGACUGAGAGAGACUGUGUGUUUGCCUGUGUCUGUAGACUGAGGAGAGACUGUGUGUUUGCUGUGUCUGUAGACAGAGAGAGUGUGUGUUUGCCUGUGUCUG
rnacentral:lncRNA from 1 species